rnacentral:rRNA from 1 species
UCUCGGCAAACAUAAGCCUCGCCUGUUUACCAAAAACAUCGCCUCUUGCAAAAUCAAUGUAUAGGAGGUCCUACCUGCCCAGUGAAAAUUAAACGGCCGCGGUAUUUUGACCGUGCAAAGGUAGCGCAAUCACUUGUCUUUUAAAUAGAGACCUGUAUGAAUGGUGAAACGAGGGCUUAACUGUCUCCCCUUUCCAAUCAGUGAAAUUGACCUACCCGUGCAGAGGCGGGUAUAAAAAUACAAGACGAGAAGACCCUAUGGAGCUUAAGACACACAGUCAACUACGUUAAAAACCUCAAAUUAUAGAAAUAAACAAAAUAGCCACUGACUAUUGUCUUCGGUUGGGGCGACCACGGGGGAAAAUUAAUCCCCCAUGUGGAACGGGGUAAAACCCUAAAACCAUGAGACACAUCUCUAAGUCACAGAACUUCUGACCUAAAGAUCCGGUACUUUACCGAUCAACGGACCAAGUUACCCUAGGGAUAACAGCGCAAUCCCCUCCAAGAGUCCAUAUCGACGAGGGGGUUUACGACCUCGAUGUUGGAUCAGGACAUCC